rnacentral:rRNA from 1 species
GGUUGAUCCUGCCAGUAGUCAUAUGCUUGUCUCAAAGAUUAAGCCAUGCAUGUCUCAGUGUAAACUUUUAAACAGUGAAACUGCGAAUGGCUCAUUAAAACAGUUAUAGUUUAUUUGGUAAUCAUUUUUACAUGGAUAACCGUGGAAAUUCUAGGGCUAAUACAUGCGUAAACCCGCAAGGGAUGUGUUUAUUAGAUUAAAACCAACACGUGUUUCGGCACGUUUAAUUGGAAUGAUAAUAACCGUUCGAAUCGCACGCUUUAU